CGAGCAGAUUUUGUAAAGAGAAAAAAAGACCAUAGGAGGAGCACGGGCUCGCCUCCUCUCCCUCUCGCCCAAGUCCUCGUCGCCGCCGCCGCCGCCACCACCCACGCUGUGGCAAUCUCCGGCGAGCUCCGGCGCCGCACAACACACCCCAGAGCUCCCCACGGUCCGCGUCUCCCUCCCCUCCGGCCAGAUUCUGCGCUCCCGACCUCUACCGCCCGGUCGCAACGCCACCCCUGUGGCUGGGUUUGGGGCAGGGCUUCGCCGCCGCGUCUCCGGCGGCCCCGGGUUCGUCCCUCUUCCUACCUGGUCGGGAUCCACCACCCCUACACCUCACCUUCGACGCCAUGGGAGUUCCCCAUCCACCAUGGUUGUCGCCGUCAAGGGCUUCUUCACGAAGAUGUGAAGGACGCCAUGGAUCUGCAGCUCCUUUUCUCCUCCACCACGGACGCCGCCUCACCCUUCCAAGCCAACAGGCACCCUACAAACGGGUCGGCCCACAGCUCCUCCGCUCCUCUGCCAUCUUGAGAUGCACCUGGAUCUGGGCGAUUUCAGGGCCUUCAUGGCUUUGGAAUCGGCCUCUCGUUCGGGAUCAGUUUGGAUCUAGGACAAGCCAACCAUGCUGCUGCGCCAAGCUCCUCUUGAUAUAGUUUACAUGAAUGCUAUCCGGGAGAAGGCAAAUAUCAGGAGCAAAUAAAAUCAAUCCCUAUACAAAUAAAAACACUCCCUGCAAUCUAUCAUUUUUUUUGAGGAAUUAGCCACAUUAGAGUAGUUGAUACAUUGGAUGAGUAUUCAGAAGGUGCAGUCAAUUUGUCCUUUGGCAUCUAGCCCUCCUGUUGGUAUAAUAAUGCAAAUUGCCUUUUUUUUUUAAAAAUGGUCCUUCAUUUCUUUUCUUUGAGUUAUCUGUGUAUCUUUUAAGCUUUUGCUAGGCGAGGAAAGGUGGACCAAGUAGUCUAGCAGAACCAAUUGCAUUUUUGGGGUAUUGGCUUCAGAUUGGAGUGGGAAGGUAUAGAUAUGUGUUCUUUCCACAAGAAGAACAAUGAAUACUACUACAAUCUUUUCUAGCAUGAAGACAUGGAUCCCAUCACGGAAGGAGUAGAUGAAGACCAUGGAAAGGAGGAGUUACUAGGAGCAGAAUACUGAUAAAGGAAAAUUGAAUUAAGAACUCAAUCGGAGCAGAGACCAUGAGUUGUGGACCAUAUAAUGUUGUCUGCUGCACUUUCAGAUUCUGUUGGGAAAAUUUGCAGAACCGGAUAAUGUCUCAACACUGACUAGAAGAAAGGAAGCCACAUAUAGCUGGGAGGAGGUGUUGUCGCCAGCCUCACGUUGAUGUGCGGUACUUGCGCCUCUCUGCUUCAUAUGGACACAGGCACCAAACUAGAACAUUUCCAUGUUGUUAUUUGGUGUUUAGAAAGUGUUUAUCUGUAAGCUACAUUAAUACACUAUAGUAGUCCCACAACGUUUUGCAUAUGAAUAGUUGUAGAAGAAACAUGAUAACAGGUUUCUUUUGUUGCUAACGUGUAGAGUUACUGUACAAAUGCAUUUUUUGCUACAGAUUUACGGGUCAUUAUUUAGCUAUUUCGGUUCCUCCUUAUGAAUAGAUUUUUCUAUGUAUAUGGCGGAAGAUAAUAUAGACCUCUAUUUGUAAACAUCCAUAUAGUUUGUGGAAAAUGGAAAACCUUACUUUUUUUGUUAUC